GGCUAGGAUGAACGCUAGCGACAGGCUUAACACAUGCAAGUCGAGGGGUAACAGGGUAGCAAUACCGCUGACGACCGGCGCACGGGUGAGUAACGCGUAUGCAACCUGCCUAUAACUGGGGAAUAGCUCCCUGAAAGGGGAAUUAACACCGCAUAAUACUAUUGAUUCGCAUGGAUUAGUAGUUAAAUGUAGCGAUACAGGUUAUAGAUGGGCAUGCGUGACAUUAGCUAGUUGGUGAGGUAACGGCUCACCAAGGCUACGAUGUCUAGGGGUUCUGAGAGGAAGGUCCCCCACACUGGUACUGAGACACGGACCAGACUCCUACGGGAGGCAGCAGUGAGGAAUAUUGGUCAAUGGGCGCAAGCCUGAACCAGCCAUGUCGCGUGCAGGAAGACUGCCCUAUGGGUUGUAAACUGCUUUUAUAGUAGAAGAAACACAUCUACGUGUAGAUGUCUGCCAGUAUACUAUGAAUAAGCAUCGGCUAACUCCGUGCCAGCCGCUGC
rnacentral:rRNA from 1 species